UACGAAGGGGGCUAGCGUUGCUCGGAAUUACUGGGCGUAAAGGGCUCGUAGGCGGCCAACUAAGUCAGACGUGAAAUCCCUCGGCUUAACCGGGGAACUGCGUCUGAUACUGGAUGGCUUGAGUUUGGGAGAGGGAUGCGGAAUUCCAGGUGUAGCGGUGAAAUGCGUAGAUAUCUGGAGGAACACCGGUGGCGAAGGCGGCAUCCUGGACCAACACUGACGCUGAGGAGCGAAAGCCAGGGGAGCAAACGGG
rnacentral:rRNA from 1 species